rnacentral:misc_RNA from 1 species
GAUGAAGAACGUAGCGAAAUGCGAUAAGUAAUGUGAAUUGCAGAAUUCAGUGAAUCAUCGAAUCUUUGAACGCACAUUGCGCCCGCCAGUAUUCUGGCGGGCAUGCCUGUUCGAGCGUCAUUUCAACCAUCAAGCCCCCGGCUUGUGUUGGGGACCUGCGGCUGCCGCAGGCCCUGAAAAGCAGUGGCGGGCUCGCUGUCACACCGAGCGUAGUAGCAUACAUCUCGCUCUGGGCGUGCUGCGGGUUCCGGCCGUUAAACCACCUUCAUAACCCAAGGUUGACCUCGGAUCAGGUAGGAAGACCCGCUGAACUUAAGCAUUCAAUAGCGGAGGA